rnacentral:lncRNA from 1 species
UCUGCCCUGGCAGUCAUGCUAACAUUGUUGUUGGUUUAGUGUUCACAUUAGUUUCUCUGAUAGUUAAGAGAACACGGUAUUACAGUGAGUUUCCCUUACAGAUUUAGAAAAAGUAAACUGUUCUUAAUUGUUCUUUUUCCAGCCUCGCUGCUAAUGGCGAUGUGGAAGGGUUGUAUGCCUGGUAUCUAGCUGGUGUAAACCUGGAACAAACUGGGUAUGAUGGCAGAACUCCCUUACAAAUAGCAGAGGCUACAGGGCAUGUGGAGUUCCUAGACUUUCUUAAUCAACUGAAGAUAAAGCAGGUAAUGGAAAAUGAACAUUCCUGGAAAAAAGCCAAUUUUGAACAAUUAAACAAUACUGGGCAAUAAUUUAAAAAAAGAAUUAAAAAAGGAAGGUGGAGAUGAUCACAAUUGCUACUAGAGUAUAUUGGGAACCUAGAAUUAAUUUAGAAAUAUAUUUACUUUUUUCUUAUCUUUUAAGAUUAUUUUCUUAUGGCUGAUAUUUUAAAUUUAUUUUAAAAAAUGAAAACCUGUUACACUAGCAUGUCACAUCUCAGUUUAGGUCCUUUUUCAGUGCCAAGUGUCUGAGCAUAUAGCUGUAAUCAAAUGAGACUGGAAUGUCAUGAGAUAGUGUCUCUUACUGUAUAAAUAUUUUAU